CUCCACCACUCCCUAAGCAUUUGCCACCCAUGCCCACACAUGGCAAUGUUGUCAACUCAGAAAUCUCUCAGCUGAUCAGAUGUCACACCUCUCAACUCAGCUCACGGCAUCUCAGGGCUGUCCCUUGGAAAAAUCACCUCAGACUUGGGAUAGAAGGAGUGACAGGUGGUUUUUCUACCUCUCUACCUUCUGGUACCAGCUAUACUUCUAGCCUCCCUCCAUUUUCCUUUCUACAGUGUAGCUUUCUUUCCAAAUGAGAUAUCAUUUUUAAAAAACAGAUACUCAUCUUCUUCCCUUCCCACUGCUCUAGAAGAGCACUCUUCUUUGGGUUGGAGAAUUUCAUUCUUAGGUCUGUCCUGGAAGAUCCUGCCACCAGGUACCAAAGAUGCUGGACUAUGGCCAUACCUGCUGUAACUUUUGUCAGCUCCAGAGGGGCCACAGCCAGACACACUUUCCCUGUUAUUUUGGGCCAGUUUUGCUAAUGUCUUCCUGUGGCCUGAGGUGCCCGAGAGCUUUGAGGGCCAGUAAAGCGAAGGAGCCCAAGGGAAGCAAGGCCUGCCCACAGGGAAAUUCCAGGAAGAAAACUGGAAUGGGGACAGGGUCACUGUGACCACACUUCUCCUGGAAGCCAGCUCAGCUGGCAGACAGAGACACUGAGAGAACAGAAAGACACUAGGCUGGUGGGCCACACAGGACCACAGGCAGACAGGCAGAGCCCAGAGCAGAGCCAGCAGAGCCAACAGCUGCAGGUGGCCAGAGCCCUGGGGGAGGCUGAGGUAAAAUCUGCCCUGGAGCAGGUGACCCAGGAACGGGAUGACGCCAUAGCCAAGAAGCUGGCCGUAGAAGCUGAACUGGGCAUCUGCAGAGCCAAACUCCAAGCUACGGAGAAGCAACUGCUGGAGGUGGUGAAGGAGAAACUGGUGCUCAUGGAGGAGGUCGAGGCCUGGAAGGAUGAUAUGCAGGAGCUGGUCAGCCGACAGAUUCAAAGCCAGAUGCAGAGAGAAGGGAGUGAUCCCUGGGGGGACGGGGUAUCGGGGUCCAGAACCCAGCCUGGUCUGACCACCCACUUUUCCCAGUGGCAGUGGAGAUGGCGGAGAAUAACUUGCCCCCAGUUGCUCCAAACCUUGGUGAUGGAGAUCCCACCUGGGGCCCAAGAGUGGUAGGACAGAUGUGUUCCUUCACUCUGUGGUCCAGCCUUACUGGAUGCAGGAGAAGGUGGCACCUCAGAAGAUGAAGAUGGGUCCAGGAGAAGGUUUCUGAAGCUGGAGGUUGUCCCUAAUUUUAUCUCCUUGCUGGGACUGACUUCAAUGUUGACUGUUAGAAGUCCUGCCUAUCAGUCUCCACCAGAUUGGUGAGAAGGAACAGCUGUGUCCUGGAGAGUUGG
rnacentral:lncRNA from 1 species